rnacentral:rRNA from 1 species
AGGGAAUAUUGCACAAUGGGCGAAAGCCUGAUGCAGCAACGCCGCGUGUGCGAUGAAGGCCUUCGGGUCGUAAAGCACUUUUCUGGGAGAUGAGAAAGGACAGUAUCUCAGGAAUAAGUCUCGGCUAACUACGUGCCAGCAGCCGCGGUAAAACGUAGGAGGCAAGCGUUAUCCGGAUUCACUGGGUGUAAAGCGCGUGCAGGCGGUUCGGUAAGUUGGGCGUGAAAUCUCCUGGCUCAACUAGGAGAGGUCGUUCAAUACUACCGGACUUGAGAGUGGUAGAGGAAGAUGGAAUUCCCGGUGUAGUGGUGAAAUGCGUAGAUAUCGGGAGGAACACCAGUGGCGAAGGCGAUCUUCUGGACCAUUUCUGACGCUCAGACGCGACAGCUAGGGUAGCAAACG